UGGGGAAUAUUGCGCAAUGGGGGGAACCCUGACGCAGCCAUCCGCGUGAAUGAAGAAGGCCUUAGGGUUGUAAAGUUCUUUCGGUAUUGAGGAAGGUUGAUGUGUUAAUAGCACAUCAAAUUGACGUUAAAUACAGAAGAAGCACCGGCUAACUCCGUGCCAGCAGCCGCGGUAAUACGGAGGGUGCGAGCGUUAAUCGGAAUAACUGGGCGUAAAGGGCAAGCAGGCGGUUAUUUAAGUGAGGUGUGAAAGCCCCGGGCUUAACCUGGGAAUUGCAUUUCAGACUGGGUAACUAGAGUACUUUAGGGAGGGGUAGAAUUCCACGUGUAGCGGUGAAAUGCGUAGAGAUGUGGAGGAAUACCGAAGGCGAAGGCAGCCCCUUGGGAAUGUACUGACGCUCAUGUGCGAAAGCGUGGGGGAGCAAACAGGAUUAGAUACCCUGGUAGUCCACGCUGUAAACGCUGUCGAUUUGGGGGUUGGGGUUUAACUCUGGCGCCCGUAGCUAACGUGAUAAAUCGACCGCCUGGGGAGUACGGCCGCAAGNUA
rnacentral:rRNA from 1 species